UGGUGGAGUGAUUUGUCUGGUUAAUUCCGAUAACGAACGAGACCUUAACCUGCUAAAUAGCCAGGCCGGCCUUGGCUGGUCGCCGGCUUCUUAGAGGGACUGUCAGCGUCUAGCUGACGGAAGUUUGAGGCAAUAACA
rnacentral:rRNA from 1 species